UUCUUGCGAUGGAUUCUGCGUGGCUCCACCACUCUCUGGCAAGUCACGACAACGGAUACUGCUCCACUCCCCGCAACAGGCUCCACAUGGAAGGCCACAGUGAUAGCCACGACUCCACUCCACCACUCUUCGUAACAAACUCCUCCUGGCCCCGAACGGCCCACUACCAGGCAGUUACAAAUAUCGCCAUCAGUCUGUUGCACCCUCCGCCUAUAAAAAGGGAACCCCAGAUACGUUAUUCUCUAAGCUCUAAUUUCUAUCUCGAAACUCUGCUAAAAUUUUCGUUCGAGCACUCCAUUCUUGUCGAGGC
rnacentral:lncRNA from 1 species